rnacentral:rRNA from 1 species
UAGUAUAAUCUCUUACUUUGAAACUGCGAACGGCUCAUUAUAUCAGUUAUAAUUUAUUGGAUAGUCCCUUGCUACUUGGAUAACCGUAGUAAUUCUAGAGCUAAUACAUGCGUCAAUACCCCUUGUGGGUAGCAAUUAUUAGAUUGAAACCAACCCCUUUGGGGUGAUGUGGUGAUUCAUAAUAACAGAGUGGAUCGCAUGGCUCACGCCGGCGACGGAUCUUUCAAGUUUCUGCCCUAUCAGCUUUGGAUGGUACGGUAUUGGCCUACCAUGGCUUUAACGGGUAACGGGAAAUUAGGGUUUGAUUCCGGAGAGGGGGCCUGAGAGAUGGCCACCACAUCCAAGGAAGGCAGCAGGCGCGUAAAUUACCCAAUCCUAAUACAGGGAGGUAGUGACAAUAAAUAACAAUGCCGGGCCUUUGUAGGUCUGGCAAUUGGAAUGAGAACAAUAACAAACUCUUUAUCGAGGAUCAAUUGGAGGGCAAGUCUGGUGCCAGCAGCCGCGGUAAUUCCAGCUCCAAUAGCGUAUAUUAAAGUUGUUGCAGUUAAAAAGCUCGUAGUUGGAUUUGUGGCUGUCACGGACGACCUAGCACUCAGUGCCAGCGUUCUGCCGUGUCGCCAUCUUUGGGUGGAACCUGUGUGGCAUUAGGUUGUCGUGCAGGGGAUGCCCAUCUUUUACUGUGAAAAAAUUAGAGUGUUCAAAGCAGGCUUAUGCCGUUGAAUAUAUUAGCAUGGAAUAAUGAGAUAGGACCUUGGUACUAUUUUGUUGGUUUGCGCACCAAGGUAAUGAUUAAUAGGGACAGUUGGGGGUAUUCGUAUUCCAUUGUCAGAGGUGAAAUUCUUGGAUUUUUGGAAGACGAACUACUGCGAAAGCAUUUACCAAGGAUGUUUUCAUUAAUCAAGAACGAAAGUUAGGGGAUCGAAGAUGAUUAGAUACCAUCGUAGUCUUAACCAUAAACUAUGCCGACAAGGGAUUGGUGGGGUUUCGUUUUGUCUCCAUCAGCACCUUAUGAGAAAUCACAAGUCUUGGGUCCGGG